GACGAACGCUGGCGGCGUGCUUAACACAUGCAAGUCGAACGGAAAGGCCCUGCUUUUGUGGGGUGCUCGAGUGGCGAACGGGUGAGUAACACGUGAGUAACCUGCCCUUGACUUUGGGAUAACUUCAGGAAACUGGGGCUAAUACCGGAUAGGAGCUCUUGCUGCAUGGUGGGGGUUGGAAAGUUUCGGCGGUUGGGGAUGGUCUCGCGGGUUAUCAGCUUGUUGGUGGGGUAGUGGCUUACCAAGGCUUUGACGGGUAGCCGGCCUGAGAGGGUGACCGGCCACAUUAGGACUAAGGUACGGCCCAGACUCCUACGGGAGGCAGCAGGGGGGAAUAUUGCGCAAUAGGCGGGAGCCUGAUGCAGCAGCGCCGCGUGCGGAAUGACGGCCUUCGGGUUGUAAACCACUUUCGCCUGUGACGAAGCGUGAGUGACGGUAAUGAGUAAAGAAGCACCGGCUAACUACGUG
rnacentral:rRNA from 1 species